rnacentral:rRNA from 1 species
UACGAAGGGGGCUAGCGUUGCUCGGAAUCACUGGGCGUAAAGCGCACGUAGGCGGAUUGUUAAGUCAGGGGUGAAAUCCUGGAGCUCAACUCCAGAACUGCCUUUGAUACUGGCGAUCUCGAGUCCGGGAGAGGUGAGUGGAACUGCGAGUGUAGAGGUGAAAAUUCGUAGAUAUUCGCAAGAACACCAGUGGCGAAGGCGGACUCGACUG